UACAGAGGGGGCAAGCGUUGUUCGGAAUUACUGGGCGUAAAGGGCGUGUAGGCGGCCCGCUAAGUCGAACGUGAAAUCCCCGGGCUUAACCCGGGAACUGCGUCCGAUACUGGCAGGCUUGAAUUCGGGAGAGGGAUGUGGAAUUCCAGGUGUAGCGGUGAAAUGCGUAGAUAUCUGGAGGAACACCGGUGGCGAAGGCGGCAUCCUGGACCGAUAUUGACGCUGAUGCGCGAAAGCCAGGGAGCAAAGCGGG
rnacentral:rRNA from 1 species